GUACUGCUGAAGAGUCCCAAACUAAUUCCAUUAUAAGUCCCAAACUAGGCUGACGAAACAGCUGUCCAGUAC
rnacentral:hammerhead_ribozyme from 1 species